rnacentral:rRNA from 1 species
AGAGUUUGAUUAUGGCUCAGAUUGAACGCUGGCGGCAUGCUUACACAUGCAAGUCGAACGGCAGCACGGGGGCAACCUGGUGGCGAGUGGCGAACGGGUGAGUAAUGCAUCGGAACGUGCCCGGUAGUGGGGGAUAACUCGACGAAAGUCGACUAAUACCGCAUACGUACCGAGGUAGAAAGCGUGGGGACCUGCAUAGGUCCUCGCGCUAUCGGAGCGGCCGAUGUCGGAUUAGCUUGUUGGUGGGGUAAUGGCCUACCAAGGCGACGAUCCGUAACUGGUCUGAGAGGACGACCAGUCACACUGGGACUGAGACACGGCCCAGACUCCUACGGGAGGCAGCAGUGGGGAAUUUUGGACAAUGGGCGAAAGCUGAUCCAGCAAUGCCGCGUGUGUGAAGAAGGCCUUCGGGUUGUAAAGCACUUUUGUCCGGAAAGAAUAUCCGCUGGCCAAUACCCGGGCGGGAUGACGGUACCGGAAGAAUAAGCACCGGCUAACUACGUGCCAGCAGCCGCGGUAAUACGUAGGGUGCGAGCGUUAUCCGGAUUUAUUGGUUUAAAGGGUCCGUAGCGGAAUUGCAAGUCAGAGGUGAAAGCCCACAGCUUAACUGUGGAACUGCCUUUGUAUACUGCCGUUCUUGAGUAUAGUUGAAGUGGGCGGAAUGUCCGGUGUAGGGGUGAAAUCCGUUGAUAUCGGUAGGAUUCAAGGGCGAAGGCGGGUAGCUAGGGAUACUUUUACGUCAGGGACGAAGCUAGGGUAGCGAAAGGGAUUAGAGACCCUGUAGUCUAGCGUAAACGUGCUCGUAGCCCUGGUUCCGAUUUAUCGAGUCAUGGGCGUAAGCUAACGGGUGAAGGAGCCGCCUGGGAGUACGGGGAAGUAAAAAACUCAGAUACGGACUACACA